rnacentral:rRNA from 1 species
GCAAGUCGAACGAACUUAAUCGAUUCUUUUAGAUUCGAAGCGGUUAGUGGCGGACUGGUGAGUAACACGUAAGCAACCUACCUAUUAGAGGGGAAUAACAGUGAGAAAUCACUGCUAAAACCGCAUAUGCCGUGAAUAUCGCAUGAUAAAAACGGGAAAAGAGCAAUCUGCUAAUAGAUGGGCUUGCGUCUGAUUAGCUAGUUGGUAUGGUAAAGGCAUACCAAGGCAACGAUCAGUAGCCGGACUGAGAGGUUGAAC